UGUUGCUCUGCAACCUAUCAAUGCUUCAUCAGUCUGAAAGAAGCGCCUUCGGGUGACUGUAUCAAUCAAUGUUCCGUUAGUCUGAGAGGGACGCCUUCGGGUGACUAUAUUAUCUGCCAGACCUGAAAAGGCAGACAGUAAAUACUCUGGGUAAACCU
rnacentral:sRNA from 1 species